AUACUUACCUGGCAGGGGAGAUACCAUGAUCACGAAGGUGGUUUUCCCAGGGCGAGGCUUAUCCAUUGCACUCCGGAUGUGCUGACCCCUGCGAUUUCCCCAAAUGUGGGAAACUCGACUGCAUAAUUUGUGGUAGUGGGGGACUGCGUUCGCGCUCUCCCCGG
rnacentral:snRNA from 1 species